UGGUCCCAGCCUUGAAAUCAAUUGUUACUUAAUAUACACAUGCAAGUCUCAGCACCCCUGUGAAAACGCCCUUAAUUUCCUAACAGGAACAAGGAGCUGGUAUCAGGCACAAUUUUUAGCCCAAGACACCUAGCUAUGCCACACCCACAAGGGACCUCAGCAGUGAUUAACAUUGAGCAUAAGCGACAGCUUGACUCAGUUAAAGUAAAAAGAACUGGCAAAUCUGGUGCCAGCCGCCGCGGUUACACCAUGAGGUUCAAAUUGAUUCUUUUCGGCGUAAAGCGUGAUUAAAGCCACUUGAACAAUUAUAGUUGUAUUAGAACUAAGCUGUGACACGCUUGUAUCUAAGAAAUUCAAAAACGAAAGUUACUAUAUUUAUAACAACUUGAAUCCACGACAGCUAGAACACAAACUGGGAUUAGAUACCCCACUAUGCCUAGCCGUAAACUUUAAAUUACACCCACAUCGCCAGGGAACUACGAGCAAAGCUUAAAACCCAAAGGACUUGACGGUACCCCACAUCCACCUAGAGGAGCCUGUCCUAUAAUCGAUAAUCCACGCUUAACCUCACCAUUUUUAGCCUACCAGCCUGUAUACCUCCGUCGUCAGCUUACCUCGUGAGCGAUUUUUAGUGAGCUUAAUGUCCACACGCCAAUACGUCAGGUCAAGGUGCAGUAAAUAAAAUGGGAAGAGAUGGGCUACACUCUCUAACAUAGAAUAUACGAAAGACUACAUAUGAAAUCUAGUCAGAAGGCGGAUUUAGUAGUAAAAAGAGAUCAUAAAGCUCUUUUUAACAUGGCACUGGGGUGUGUACACACCUGCCCGUCACCCUCUUCAAAGCUAAGAGAUAGUAUUUAACAUAACAUAGCAAACCAGAAGAGGCAAGUCGUAACAUGGUAAGUAUACCGGAAGGUGUGCUUGGAAC
rnacentral:ncRNA from 1 species